UGUUUGACUACAUAUGUUCUAGCGCCCGUUAAUUUAACGGGCUUAAUGUCUAGUAGUAAAUAUUCCCCUUAGUGUCAGUCAAUCGCUGUAGUGUCCAUCUCUAAUUGAAGUGAAGGGAAGAUGCUCUUAGAAAGGCUCUGCAUCAUUGACUAUAGAUAUUUUUUUCAUUGUCCCUUUAUUUGGAAGGGCUGUUUUUUCUGGAUAAAUGAGAAGUCUGCUGCCUGAAUAUGGAAUAAUCAUCUUUCAGUCAGCAGAGUUACCAGAGAGAGAGGCUGUUAGUAAUAAAGCAAGCAAGUCUUGUUUAGAAAGUUUUAGAAUGCCUUUGAAACGUACAUUUUCUCUUCUGGACCUGUUCUCCCAAUACUUAGCUUUUAUUUUAUUUUUUUUCCAGAUACAACAAUUUAUUUUUUGUGGAGUAAGAGUUAUCUUCUAUGAAAGAAAUUCUGUCUUCCGUCUCUGAAAUACAGUCAUUUUGAGAGGGCGGUGCAACUGGACCCCAAUUCUACUUUGGAAAAGACAGUCCAUCAACUUUUUGCCUGCCUUGCCUGAAGCAGAGACCUAGGACAAGAUACAGUACAUAAGGAACACAAAGAAGAAGUCAUUGUGCCCUGGGAAUGUUGCUGGCAUGCAAUGGUAUCUUCCUUUUUCUGGUUCCAGUUGCAUCUACAGGACAUACAGUCUGACACCAGUGUGCAACAGGUGAUUGGUGAGUGUUGUUUUUGAUGCAGAAUGUCUUCGCUAGAAUAACAUAAGCAUUUCACCAGUCCUCGAGUUCAUCAGUUAACGAGGUAAUUAACCUUCAUGAAACACAUUGUUGUCAAAUAGUAAUCCACUAAUAACUGUAGUCUUUUUAUUUCUUAUUUCUGUUUUUCUAAAAUGUUUUGUAUUAAAAAUGUAUUUAUUUUGCACCCCCCCACUGACAUUUUAAAGAAUAACAAUAGCUUAUGUAUCUUUUCCCCAAAUGUAAUAAAAGGCACUAAGUUUGCCCAGGGGCAGUAGCGCAUAGCAACCAGUAAGUUGU